AUGUUUUUAAAAUCACUAGAGAAGUGGCAUAGCAGACCUGAGAUCUGGCCCUCUCCCUCCCCACCCCCUCUUCCUGCCACUACCCCACAUGAGCCCCAGCCAUACCAAACCCAUUCCAGGACCCUGAAGUUAUUAUGCAGCCUCAUACCACAUCUUCUGCCUAAAUGUCUUUCCUCCUCUCAUCUACCUACAAAACACCAUUUCAGACAUCCUCUCCUCUGGGCAGCUUCUUGGAGGACCCGUCCAGGGUCAGCCCCACCCCUGCUGAUGUCAACCUGUGGAUAAAGUCCUAGGAAUGGAGUUACUGUGUCAAAGAGGAAAAAUAGUUUGUGAGUAUUGAAACAUUUGUUCAGUAACUUUCCAAUGAUGUUUAUGAAUUUUCAGUGAAAUAUGAAUUUCAUAAAAAUUUAUGAAAUAUGAAUGGGUCAUGUUUACUACAAACUCAUAAACAUUAGCUAUUAUUACAUUUGAUGUUUUGAGAGGUUAGUUCUUAUGCCUCUAAAACCAGAUUUUACAUUUAUUUAUUCCAAUUACAGUUUAUCCUCUUAGUUUUAACUAGUUAUUUCAGGCUGUCAAGAUGUUUUUUGAAAUCUGUUUCUGUUACUUAACUCAUUAGCUAUCAUUCCCAACUGUGCCAAUUGUCACUCCAAUAAGGCACAGCUUUAGUGUCCUCAUUCAAGUAACUGACAAAUCACUGACUAGGAAAUAGUUCAAUAUGAUGCAUUUUAACUUACCCUUAAAGACCUUCUUUGAGGGUAAGAUUAGCCCAUUAAUCAACUACUAUUAGAGACCAGUGUCGAACCAGUCAGUCUUCAUUCACCUUUAAGCUAUCCCAUAGGCUCUACUCAAUCCAAUCCAAUGCAAUUAAAUUUAUUUUGUCAAGAUUUAAGCCUCAAAUGCCAAAAUACAUACUAAGCAGCAGGAAGUCUGCCAAAUAACUUGUUGGCACUGAGGUUCAUCAGGCAUUCCUGGAUUUACCAAUUGAGUAACUUCGUUAAAAAAGGGAAAUGUGGUUGGUGUGGUGUGAACUGUUGUUAGGGGAUUUAUGUUGUCUUAUGGUGGAGGAGCUGGUUGCUCUGCCAAAGGAGGGGAGUGGCAAUAGGCCAAGGGAUUAAGCAACAACAAAACCAGAGGUGGGCAAGUGGGGUGGAACUGAGAAGCUAUUGCUUAAGCACGUACAAGAGGGGCUAAACCAGAGAGUUCAUAAGAAUGGUGGAAUCAUUGCAAGGAAGUUUAGGCCAGAGAUUGGAGGUGGAAAUUAAAAAAUGAUAUCCAAGUUAUGAUAUUCACAAACUUACAGUCUGGUCUUACAGUCUAGCUGUGGGAAAAAGACAUAAAAGUAUACAAACAGAAAGUUCCAAGGAGUUGAAGCAAGAGUAUUUUUUCCCUAUUCCUCACACUAAGUAUGACUAAACCCCAAUGAUCAUCAUAUAAAAAACAAACAUAAGGAAACUCUCAAAGGUGGAGAGAAAGCAGACCAGCUUGAGACCUCAGGAUUUGCAAGGAACAAUACAGUGGUGAGUUCUCUGGCUUUUUCUUGUGUCUCAUAUAUCCCCAGGUGCUGGAGAAGCUAGAAACCUGGAAAUGAUAACAGACACAGACAAAAAAUAACUCCAACAAAAGCUGACUCUCUCUAGCCAAAGGACUACAAAGACAAAAAAAUUUUAGGCAUUAAAUGCUCUACUCCAGCCAAACACCACAUAAAAA
rnacentral:lncRNA from 1 species